AGUCGACGCUUCUUUUUCACCGGAGCUUGCUCCACCGGAAAAAGAGGAGUGGCGAACGGGUGAGUAACACGUGGGUAACCUGCCCAUCAGAAGGGGAUAACACUUGGAAACAGGUGCUAAUACCGUAUAACAAUCGAAACCGCAUGGUUUUGAUUUGAAAGGCGCUUUCGGGUGUCGCUGAUGGAUGGACCCGCGGUGCAUUAGCUAGUUGGUGAGGUAACGGCUCACCAAGGCGACGAUGCAUAGCCGACCUGAGAGGGUGAUCGGCCACAUUGGGACUGAGACACGGCCCAAACUCCUACGGGAGGCAGCAGUAGGGAAUCUUCGGCAAUGGACGAAAGUCUGACCGAGCAACGCCGCGUGAGUGAAGAAGGUUUUCGGAUCGUAAAACUCUGUUGUUAGAGAAGAACAAGGAUGAGAGUAACUGUUCAUCCCUUGACGGUAUCUAACCAGAAAGCCACGGCUAACUACGUGCCAGCAGCCGCGGUAAUACGUAGGUGGCAAGCGUUGUCCGGAUUUAUUGGGCGUAAAGCGAGCGCAGGCGGUUUCUUAAGUCUGAUGUGAAAGCCCCCGGCUCAACCGGGGAGGGUCAUUGGAAACUGGGAGACUUGAGUGCAGAAGAGGAGAGUGGAAUUCCAUGUGUAGCGGUGAAAUGCGUAGAUAUAUGGAGGAACACCAGUGGCGAAGGCGGCUCUCUGGUCUGUAACUGACGCUGAGGCU
rnacentral:rRNA from 1 species